rnacentral:rRNA from 1 species
GACGUAGGGCGCAAGCGUUGUCCGGAUUUAUUGGGCGUAAAGAGCUUGUAGGCGGUUUGUCGCGUCUGCUGUGAAAAUCCGGGGCUCAACCCCGGACUUGCAGUGGGUACGGGCAGACUAGAGUGUGGUAGGGGAGACUGGAAUUCCUGGUGUAGCGGUGAAAUGCGCAGAUAUCAGGAGGAACACCAAUGGCGAAGGCAGCACUCUGGGACGUGACUGACGCUGAGACGCGAAAGCGUGGGGAGCAAACAGG